rnacentral:rRNA from 1 species
UUAGAUAGAGUUCAAGAGUACGUGAAACCGUUCAGGGGUAAACCUGAGAAACCCAAAAGAUCGAAUGGGGAGAGUCAUCGUCAGCUUAUUUUGUAUAUAUAUGAGUGUAUGAUAUGGGUUACUACUUGUAGUAUUGCCUAUACAUUCUUGUAUAUUUCAUUGCAAGAUAUAGUCGGCGUGCACUUCUCCCCUAGUAGGACGUCGCGACCCGUUGAGUGUUGGUCUACGGCCCGAGUGGUAGUCUUUAAUUUUUAUAAUUAAAGUCCCUUGGUGUUUCCUGACUGGCUACUCGGCGGUAUUCGUACGGUAUUAAGCCGCACUUAUGCGUUCAUAUCCGUCGCAAGCGCGGUCAAUUUUUGGUAGUACGGAUCCAAUGCCGUCGCUAUAAUUGAUCAGCUGUUGGUUGUACGGUAUUCUAGAACUGGCUUAAAAAUAUAUAUACCGGUCUGCGAU